rnacentral:tRNA from 1 species
GCCUCCGUAGCUCAGAGGAAGAGCAGUGGUGUUCUAAGCCAACAGUCGUAGGUUCGACUCCUACCGGGGGUA